ACCCGAUCUUUCUUCUCAUAAUUGUUCUUAACUCCAUAACAAUUCUCUUUUAGUCUAUUAUGUUUGAGUAUUAUUUUUUUAAAUAAGUAAAAGGGAAGGGAAGUGGGGUAGUUGCAUAUGGUGAGAUGGAUAAAAGGCAUUGUUGAGUGGAGUAGUGAAAGGGACAUGAGGGUUACUGAACCUCAUUAGUCUCUUAUAUUCGAGUUAGCUCAAAGAUAAUGAUGUUUGUUUGGUCUUCAGUUCAUAGUAGUUUAACUAUUUCAAAAUAUGCUGUGUGUGUGAGUCACACAAACCCUUGUGUUCUCCAAUUGGCGAGAAGUGAACCACUUAAUAGUGUUUUUGGAGUUUUUUAUAUGGGUUUUUCAACGGGACCUGAGUUUUUGUUCCAUUACGUUGGAGUUUGGAGUGCUACUGAAGACUGGCUUUCCAAAUUUAGGAAAUCCAACGAUGGUAAGAUCUUUUCACACUAUAUAGUUCUUUCAUGAUUCUUUGGGGUUUCUGUACAAAGAGAAAAAAUGGACUUUCAACAACCUUUAUUUAUAUUUCUAACUCUUGUGGGAUAGAGUGACAUUUUAUUAUCAGUUGGGCUUUUACUUUAGAAAGCUUCUCCCUGGAUAGCUAUUUCUGACACUAAUAGUGAUUGGCAAGAUGUCCUUUGUCGAGGCCUUAGUAUUUUUCCACUUCCAGAAGAGAGUCACGGUCAAGCUGUGAGCCUCUUGAAACUAACUCCUUGUCCUCCCCCUUGUACUCCUAGUAAAUGCUAUUUUAUUUUUUGAAAGAUAAAGGUAUAAUAAGAGGUGAAUUCAGGGGGUUCAAGAAAGAACAGAGAAUUUAGAAUGACUCACACUAUUACAUGGUGUGUUUUUUUUGAUAAUUCAUUAGAAGCCUCAAAAGGGGGGUGAACCCCAGUACACACGUCACACGCAGUAGACAAAAGUCUUACAUGGUGUAUCUAUAGGAAGG
rnacentral:lncRNA from 1 species